rnacentral:sRNA from 1 species
CCCCCCCCCCAUCCCAAAAAAGACAAUUUUCUGUUUGCUAUCACAGCAUCUUCUAUUUUAAAAUUUGAUUGUUACAAUCAUCUAUAUUUUUCCCUAUUUUUUUGUUUUAAUAUGUAAAGUGAAUUAAAGUGAUAUUUUCAUGAAUAUGCUUUUUAUCAUUUAAUUUCAAAAGAACUUAACCCACUUACGAUUUACUGUGUGUUAAGCUUUGAUGUAAUAAAUAAAAAAAACAGCGUAAAAAUUUGAAACUGUUAUGUAAUGUAUUGCAUAUUAUGAAACAUAGUAUGUAAUAGAUAAAUGCAAGUAAAAAAAUAUACU